rnacentral:rRNA from 1 species
GCACGGGUGCGUAACGCGUGGGAAUCUGCCCUUGGGUACGGAAUAACAGUGAGAAAUUACUGCUAAUACCGUAUGAUGUCUUCGGACCAAAGAUUUAUCGCCCAAGGAUGAGCCCGCGUUGGAUUAGCUAGUUGGUAGGGUAAAAGCCUACCAAGGCGACGAUCCAUAGCUGGUCUGAGAGGAUGAUCAGCCACACUGGGACUGAGACACGGCCCAGACUCCUACGGGAGGCAGCAGUGGGGAAUAUUGGACAAUGGGGGAAACCCUGAUCCAGCAAUGCCGCGUGAGUGAUGAAGGCCUUAGGGUUGUAAAGCUCUUUUACCCGGGAUGAUAAUGACAGUACCGGGAGAAUAAGCUCCGGCUAACUCCGUGCCAGCAGCCGCGGUAAUACGGAGGGAGCUAGCGUUGUUCGGAAUUACUGGGCGUAAAGCGCGCGUAGGCGGUUUUGCAAGUUAGAGGUGAAAGCCCGGGGCUCAACCCCGGAACUGCCUU